GUAGGGUGCGAGCGUUAAUCGGAAUUACUGGGCGUAAAGCGUGCGCAGGCGGUUCUGCAAGUCAGAUGUGAAAUCCCCGGGCUUAACCUGGGAACUGCGUUUGAAACUACGGAGCUAGAGUACGGCAGAGGGGGGUGGAAUUCCACGUGUAGCAGUGAAAUGCGUAGAUAUGUGGAGGAACACCGAUGGCGAAGGCAGCCCCCUGGGCCGAUACUGACGCUCAGGCACGAAAGCGUGGGGAGCAAACAGGAUUAGAUACCCUGGUAGUCCACGCCCUAAACUAUGUCAACUAGUUGUCGGGAAAGCAAUUUCUUGGUAACGAAGCUAACGCGUGAAGUUGACCGCCUGGGGAGUACGGUCGCAAGAUUA
rnacentral:rRNA from 1 species